rnacentral:rRNA from 1 species
GUCUAUUUGUAGAUAUAAAUAGUCUAACCUGCUCACUGAUAAAAUAUUAUUAAAGAGCCGCGGUAUAUUGACUGUGCAAAGGUAGCAUAAUCAUUAGUUUUUUAAUUGAAAACUUGUAUGAAGGGUUGGACAAAAGAAACACUGUCUUUAUUAUUAAAAUUGAAUUUAACUUUUAAGUGAAAAGGCUUAAAUGUUUCAGAGGGACGAGAAGACCCUAUAAAGUUUUACAUGGUAAAAAAUUUUAAUUAAAUUGUUAAUAAAAAUUAAUUUAUGUUAUUAUGUUUGAUUGGGGUGAUAUAGAUAUAAUUUAUUAUAACUGUCAAAAAAAAUUACAUUAAUAGAUGAGUUAAAAUUAAUUGAUCCUUAAUAAAGAUUUAAAGAUUAAGUUACUUUAGGGAUAACAGCGUAAUUUCUUUUGAGAGUUCCUAUCGAAGAAGAAGUUUGCGACCUCGAUGUUGAAUUAAAAUGUCUAUAUAGUGUAGCCGUUAUAUAAGAAGGUCUGUUCGACCUUUAAUUUUUU